rnacentral:rRNA from 1 species
AUGGCGCGCGCCGGCGCUCUCUGCCUCGCGCUGCUCUGCCUCCUCGCGGCGCACUCCGCCGUCGCCGCCCCUCCCGCUCCCGUCGCCGAGGCACCCGCCACCAUCCCCACCAAGCCCGACGCCCCCGCGCCCGCCCCGGCCAAGAAGAAGAAGAAGUCGUCCUCCAAGAAGAAGAAGAGCAAGGCCCCGGCCCCCGCUCCCGUCGCCGCCGAGGCCCCCACCAAGUCCAAGAAGGCCAAGGCCCCCGCGGCCUCCGACGACUCCGAAGCCCCCGGCCCCGCACUCGAUGCUGCCGCCGACGACACCGCGGGCGCGAUCCAGAGCAUGGCAGGGAACAUCAUGUCGGCGUGCGCGAUGGCGCUGGGCCUCCUCGCCCUCCUCGCCUAG